rnacentral:rRNA from 1 species
UACGAAGGGGGCUAGCGUUGCUCGGAAUUACUGGGCGUAAAGCGCACGUAGGCGGUCUUUUAAGUCAGGGGUGAAAUCCUGGAGCUCAACUCCAGAACUGCCUUUGAUACUGGCGAGCUUGAGUUCGGGAGAGGUGAGUGGAACUGCGAGUGUAGAGGUGAAAUUCGUAGAUAUUCGCAAGAACACCAGUGGCGAAGGCGGCUCACUGGUCCGACACUGACGCUGAGGUGCGAAAGCGUGGGGAGCAAACAGG